GGGCCGCUAGCUCAGCUGGUAGAGCAGCAGACUUUUAAUCUGUUGGUCAAGGGUUCGAUCCCCUUGCGGCUCACAA
rnacentral:tRNA from 1 species